CCUACGGGAGGCAGCAGUGGGGAAUAUUGGACAAUGGGGGGAACCCUGAUCCAGCGACGCCGCGUGAGUGAAGAAGUAUUUCGGUAUGUAAAGCUCUAUCAGCAGGGAAGAAAGAAAUGACGGUACCUGACUAAGAAGCCCCGGCUAACUACGUGCCAGCAGCCGCGGUAAUACGUAGGGGGCAAGCGUUAUACGGAUUUACUGGGUGUAAAGGGAGCGUAGACGGCGAUGCAAGUCUGAAGUGACAGGCGGGGGGCCAACCCCCGGACUGCUUUGGAAACUGUAUUGCUGGAGUGCAGGAGAGGUAAGUGGAAUUCCUAGUGUAGCGGUGAACUGCGUAGAUAUUAGGAGGAACACCAGUGGCGAAGGCGGCUUACUGGACUGUAACUGACGUUGAGGCUCGAAAGCGUGGGGAGCAAACAGGAUUAGAUACCCGAGUAGUC
rnacentral:rRNA from 1 species